UACAAUAUUUUGACUCUUCGUCUUAUUUGAAAUUUUUUUGCGAUUAAUAUUUUUAUUGUUACUAGAUGAUAAAAUAUGAAUAGUAAUUUAUGCGUGACUAAUUUUUUAAAGUUUCUGUACAAUUUUUUUAAAUAAGACAAAUGGUAAAGCGUUGGACCCGAAAAAACA
rnacentral:pre_miRNA from 1 species